rnacentral:rRNA from 1 species
UACGGGGGGGAGCAAGCGUUGUUCGGAAUUACUGGGCGUAAAGGGCGCGUAGGCGGCCUUCUAAGUCGAACGUGAAAUCCCCGGGCUCAACCCGGGAACUGCGUCCGAUACUGGAAGGCUUGAAUCCGGGAGAGGGAUGCGGAAUUCCAGGUGUAGCGGUGAAAUGCGUAGAUAUCUGGAGGAACACCGGUGGCGAAGGCGGCAUCCUGGACCGGCAUUGACGCUGAGGCGCGAAAGCCAGGGGAGCAAACGGG